GAUGAACGCUGGCGGCGUGCCUAAUACAUGCCAGUCGAGCGAACAGAUGAGGAGCUUGCUCCUCUGACGUUAGCGGCGGACGGGUGAGUAACACGUGGAUAACCUACCUAUAAGACUGGGACAACUUCGGGAAACCGGAGCUAAUACCGGAUAAUAUAUUGAACCGCAUGGUUCAAUAGUGAAAGACGGUUUUGCUGUCACUUAUAGAUGGAUCCGCGCCGCAUUAGCUAGUUGGUAAGGUAACGGCUUACCAAGGCAACGAUGCGUAGCCGACCUGAGAGGGUGAUCGGCCACACUGGAACUGAGACACGGUCCAGACUCCUACGGGAGGCAGCAGUAGGGAAUCUUCCGCAAUGGGCGAAAGCCUGACGGAGCAACGCCGCGUGAGUGAUGAAGGUCUUCGGAUCGUAAAACUCUGUUAUUAGGGAAGAACAAAUGUGUAAGUAACUAUGCACGUCUUGACGGUACCUAAUCAGAAAGCCACGGCUAACUACGUG
rnacentral:rRNA from 1 species